rnacentral:lncRNA from 1 species
GUAACUACUCAGGAUUAAUGUCAGAAGUUGAGUUUUUGUUGGUGACACUGACAAGCUUUGUUUCCCUCCCUGUGCUCCACACGGGCUCUGGUCCUCUAACACAAUCUUCCUGGGUCCCGUGCUCUGCAGGGCCAGGUCAGAUGAUUUCCUGAGCAGUGCGUAUGUCCUGUGAUGUCCUGUGUUGCUGGAAUGGAGUGGAUUCUUCUCUCUCAGUGAGGAAUAGCUUUCUGAUUGUGAUCUCAGUGGAAGUCACGUGCUGUACCCACCACUGGGCAGACCUUGCUGGCCACGGCCUCCACGUGCAGUGACCGUUCUCUUGGCAGCGUCUCAGGCUGUCUGGACCAGCUGUCACAGUCUCGCUGUGGGUGAGUCACCUGAGGCACUGUAUGGCGGAUAGAAGGAUUCAUUGCCCUGGGAGGUUUUGCCUGGCAUUCUGCAGAAGCAUUGCUGUAUCUUACCAGACAGGAAUACAGGCAAUGCUGUGAAGCGUCAGAGGGAAUUCCGUUGGUUACUUUCCCAUACGGUCUUGUUCAGCUGCUUGUUCUCAGAAAAGUGUGUUUGUUGGUGGAGGAGAAUGCGACCAAGGAGACCAUCCUUUUCAUGAAGGCACAAACGUGAAUACAUAUGUGACUUUUAAGCCUUUAAAUAAAAACCCAA